rnacentral:rRNA from 1 species
GGCUCAGAGCGAACGCUAGCGGCGGGCCUAACACAUGCAAGUCGAGCGGGAACUUCGGUUCCAGCGGCGAACGGGUGAGUAACGCGUAGGUAAUGUACCUUCUGGUGGGGAAUAACCGUGGGAAACCAUGGCUAAUACCGCAUAUCGUGCUUCGGCAUGAAAGCCUUCGGGCGCCAGUCGAGCAGCCUGCGUCCCAUUAUUUAGUCCUAGUUGGUAGGGUAACGGCCUACCAAGGGUACGAUGGGUAGCUGGUCUGAGAGGAUGAUCAGCCACACUGGAACUGAGACACGGUCCAGACUCCUACGGGAGGCAGCAGUGGGGAAUAUUGCGCGAUGGGCGAAAGCCUGACGCAGCCACGCCGCGUGAGUGAUGAAGGCCUUCGGGUUGUAAAGCUCUGUCGGGAGGGACGAAAGGAGCAAUCCUUGACGGUACCUCGCAAGAAAGCACCGGCUAACUCUGUGCCAGCAGCCGCGGUAAUACAGAGGGUGCAAGCGUUGCUCGGAUUUACUGGGCGUAAAGCGUACGCAGACGGUUUGGAAGGUCGGACGUGAAAGCCCCGGGCUCAACCCGGGAAAUGCGUCCGAAACCACCUUGCUUGAGUAUGGGAGAGGGAAGCGGAAUUCCUGGUGUAGAGGUGAAAUUCGUAGAUAUCAGGAGGAACAUCGGCGGCGAAGGCGGCUUCCUGGCCCAUUACUGACGUUCAGGUACGAAAGCGUGGGUAGCAAACAGGAUUAGAUACCCUGGUAGUCCACGCCGUAAACGAUGUGUGCUGGAUGUCGGGGGUAUUCACCCCCUCGGUAUCGAAGCUAACGCGAUAAGCACACCGCCUGGGGGAGUACGGCCCGCAGGUUUAAACUC